rnacentral:tRNA from 1 species
GGCAGCGUGGCUCAGGGGAAAGAGCCCGAGCUUGGGAGUCCGAGGUCGUGGGUUCGAAUCCCGGCUCCGCCA